rnacentral:lncRNA from 10 species
CUUUUGGGCGCCAUCAGCGGUGCAGCCAGUGAUCACUCCCAGGCUCUGAGAAACUAGAGAUGUCAGCCACAAACCCUCCGUUCAGGGAAAGUUUGCGGCGCCGUGACGGAUCGACUGGCACUGGGUGCAACAUUGUCUUGUGGCCUAGAGACUAGAAUAUAAAAACAAAAACCAAAUACAAAACUGCUGCUGGCAUUACUCCUACUCUCCCCCCUCAAGUCAGUGGCUUCAGGCUUAAGAAAACCUGUAUUUUUCUUGGCUGUGCCAUAAUCCGUAAUUACCGAGGCCCCCAGCGACCCACCCAGUGUGAUUCGCAGAGGGAAAGGAGCUGGAAUAAGGACCGUGAAUGGGGCGGAUGUGGCUCGUCCUGGGAGAGAGCUAAAGCUUAUGCUGGUCGCAAACAGCAUUACAUUGCAGGAAACUGCUCUUCCAAUGGCCGUGGCUGGGUCCUUCCACACCAUCCCUCUGCCCUAGACCUUUGUCCCCGUUCAGAGCCAUCAGAGAUUCUAGGAGAGCUGUCGACAACCGCAUCUCUUCGGAACUUGGAAACUCUAGGUUCAAGAUCUCCGUGGAGAAUGAAAGGCACAGUCGCCUGACCCGGGCAUCAGGCUUGCCCCGCACAUCAAGUCCCUCCCCUACUGGAUGGAACUCUGUGGCAAUCGCUCCUUAUUCUGAUGGUUCACUCUGUCAGAUAUCCUCGAUAUUUGGGGAUAGUAGUUCAAAAACAGCCGGGGAGGAAAAUGGGCUGAAAGAUUCCAGCGUUGGAUGUAGAAUUGACAGCGAGACAUACACCUCCUCUCUAAGCCCAGAGAAAAGCUCAAGUUGUGGUUCUCUGUCUCUAGCAGCAUGAUCUUCAAAAUGCAUCAUUGAUUUCUAUCUUCUGGGAAAUGCAAUGCAGGUGAACUUGUAAGUGCUCAAAUCCUCCAUCUCCUCACUUUUCAGACUGAGGCCUUUUUUUUUUUAAAUCUGAGAAGAAAUAUGGGACUGCCACUGCUCAGUAGGAAAAUGUCCUUUCCCACAAGCAUUUAUAUUUUAAUAAAAAUCUGCACUUUGUGAGUUGAGCCCCCUCAAAGAGACCUACAAACCCUGCCACAAAUAUCUCCAACCACACUCAUCAUUUCCGAUUUUCAUCACUGCUGCUCCUGUGCAAACCAAACUAUCCUUUCCCUGGGGCAUCCUAGGUAGAGGCCAUGCCAGGACAAAGGCAGAGAUAUGCCUGCCUGGUAAGGAAAUCCAUUUUGGCCUUGUAAUUCUCACCCUCUCCCAAGAUGUUUGCCUCAAUAUCUCCUUCCCACCUUACCCCGUCUUCAGCUAGCCAAAACAUUCCCUGGUAUUUGAGGCCCUUCCAAUUUCCUCCUGGUUUUGUGGGUGGGAGAAUAAAGAAAAAACUGCACUGUUCCCACCCACAUAGUUACAGCCACUUUAUCAAACGGAAGAGCAGUCUGGAGCCAUUGCAAAACAAAAUACCUGCCACAACUCCUCUCUUCUCAUUUCGACUCCAGCUUUUCAUCUUAGCAAAAAAGUUGCAAUCAGCACCCCCUAGACGGAAGGAAUAUCCUGUCUUAAUGGGAGUCCAUAGGAGGCUGCAGGCUGCUCCCCUACAGAGACUAACAUCAAGGUAGUUGCAGAAUUCAGAUUCUAAUUACAGUGUGGUUGGAGGCGGGGUGGAUUCCAGGGAGGUCAGGAAGAGGUAAAGUACAGAAUUGAGCUCCUUGGGAGGAGGUCAUAGGAACUUUGCAGUAUGAAAAUGGCUAGAGAUUGGGUAGAAUUGAGCAGGCUGGCAAUGGCAGUUUUGUGUGGGUGGUAGGACCUAGGAUUCAAACUUGAGGGCAAAUUGUGGAGCACAUACGACAAAUGAUGUAGAGCCUUUCCUAUUUCCCUUCCUGCUGUGUCAUCCGAAACAAUAAAUAAUAAAGAAUUAACAAA